rnacentral:rRNA from 1 species
GAUGAACGCUUGCGGCGUGCCUAAUACAUGCAAGUCGAGCGAACAGACGAGGAGCUUACUCCUCUGACGUUAGCGGCGGACGGGUGAGUAACACGUGGAUAACCUACCUAUAAGACUGGGAUAACUUCGGGAAACCGGAGCUAAUACCGGAUAACAUGUUGAACCGCAUGGUUCAACAGUGAAAGACGGUCUUGCUGUCACUUAUAGAUGGAUCCGCGUCGCAUUAGCUAGUUGGUAAGGUAACGGCUUACCAAGGCAACGAUGCGUAGCCGACCUGAGAGGGUGAUCGGCCACACUGGAACUGAGACACGGUCCAGACUCCUACGGGAGGCAGCAGUAGGGAAUCUUCCGCAAUGGGCGAAAGCCUGACGGAGCAACGCCGCGUGAGUGAAGAAGGUCUUCGGAUCGUAAAACUCUGUUAUUAGGGAAGAACAAAUGUGUAAGUAACUAUGCACGUCUUGACGGUACCUAAUCAGAAAGCCACGGCUAACUACGUGCCAGCAGCCGCGGUAAUACGUAGGUGGCAAGCGUUAUCCGGAAUUAUUGGGCGUAAAGCGCGCGUAGGCGGUUUUUUAAGUCUGAUGUGAAAGCCCACGGCUCAACCGUGGAGGGUCAUUGGAAACUGGAAAACUUGAGUGCAGAAGAGGAAAGUGGAAUUCCAUGUGUAGCGGUGAAAUGCGCAGAGAUAUGGAGGAACACCAGUGGCGAAGGCGACUUUCUGGUCUGUAACUGACGCUGAUGUGCGAAAGCGUGGGGAUCAAACAGGAUUAGAUACCCUGGUAGUCCACGCCGUAAACGAUGAGUGCUAAGUGUUAGGGGGUUUCCGCCCCUUAGUGCUGCAGCUAACGCAUUAAGCACUCCGCCUGGGGAGUACGACCGCAAGGUUGAAACUCAAAGGAAUUGACGGGGACCCUCACAAGCGGUGGAGCAUGUGGUUUAAUUCGAAGCAACGCGAAGAACCUUACCAAAUCUUGACAUCCUCUGACCCCUCUAGAGAUAGAGUUUUCCCCUUCGGGGGACAGAGUGACAGGUGGUGCAUGGUUGUCGUCAGCUCGUGUCGUGAGAUGUUGGGUUAAGUCCCGCAACGAGCGCAACCCUUAAGCUUAGUUGCCAUCAUUAAGUUGGGCACUCUAAGUUGACUGCCGGUGACAAACCGGAGGAAGGUGGGGAUGACGUCAAAUCAUCAUGCCCCUUAUGAUUUGGGCUACACACGUGCUACAAUGGACAAUACAAAGGGCAGCGAAACCGCGAGGUCAAGCAAAUCCCAUAAAGUUGUUCUCAGUUCGGACUGUAGUCUGCAACUCGACUACAUGAAGUUGGAAUCGCUAGUAAUCGUAGAUCAGCAUGCUACGGUGAAUACGUUCCCGGGUC